CAGACACCCCAGAAUCUGACAGACACCCCCGAAUCUGACAGACAGACACCCCAGAAUCUGACAGGCACCCCGAGAUCUGAUCCGGAAUCCUACAGACACCCCCAAAUCUGACAGACACCCCGGAAUCCUAUAGGCACCCCGAAAUCUGGCAGACACCCCGAAAUCUGACAGACACCCUGCAAUCUGACAGACAGACACCCCAGAUCCUAUAGGCAUCCCGGAAUCUGACAGACACCCCAAGAUCUGACAGACAGACACCCCUGAAUCGUACAGACAGACACCCCGGAAUCCUAUAGACAGACACCCCGAGAUCUUCUAGACACCCCAAAAUCAUACAGACACCCCGAAAUCUGAGACACCCCGAAAUCGUACAGACAGACACCCCCAAAUCUGACAGACACCCCGAAAUCAUACAGACACCCCGAGAUCUUACAGACAGACACCCCAAAAUCAUACAGACACCCCUGAAUCCUACAGACAGAUAUCCCAAUAUCUUCUAGACCCCCCAAAAUCAUACAGACAACCCGAAAUCCUAUAGGCACCCCAGAAUCCUAUAGACACCCCGAAAUACAAUGCAGACACCCUGAGAUCCUACAGAGACCUGAAACCCCCCCAGACCCCCCCAAAAUCCUGUGAAUACAUCCAUGGACCCCCCUCAAAACCUCUGGGAACCCGAAGGGGAGUGCCAGUGGGGGCCCUUGGGUGGGGGUCCCACAGGGUGUCCAUGACCCGGGGGUCCUGGGGGGGUCCCAGGUGUCUCAGGGGUCCCGGGGGUGUCCCUAACUCGGGGUGUCCUGGUGGUCCCAGGGGUAUCUCAGUGGUCCCAGGGGUGUCCUGGUGGUCCCUGGGGUGCUGGGUGUCCCAGGGGGGGUCCCAGGGCGCCCAUAACCCGGGGGUCCCAGGAGUCCUGGUGGUCCUGGGGGUGUCCCAGUGGUCCCAGGGGUGUCCCAGGGUGUCCCAGUGGUCCCAGGGGUGUCCCAGGGGUGUCUCAGUGGUCCCAGGGGUGUCCCAGGGGUGUCCCAGUGGUGGGGGGGGGGGGGGGGGGGGGGGGGGGGGGGGGGGGGGGGGGGGGGGGGGGGGGGGGGGG
rnacentral:lncRNA from 12 species